UGAAUACCCACAACAGGUAUCAGUCAAAAUCUCAAUACCCAUUUGGAAGCUUGACUUCAACUCUAGUGUUUCUUCCGCGUUUCUAGUUCCUCAUCAAUCACUACUAUACCUUUCCAUUUCCAUUUGAUUUUGGCUUUGUGGGUUUAUAUUCCGGUAUAAAAUUCCAAAUUAUCAUAUGAAGAUUGGUAGAUAAAUUUUGAGCUUUGUUAACCAUCAUCAUGGCUUCCUUGUCUGGAAUCCUUCAAACACCAAUAGUGGCCGCCGCCUCUGCAGUUGCCAUAGCUUCUGUUUCUACUGAUCUUCAUGAAAAAUUGAAUCUUUCCAAAUUAUCCGAUACUUGCUCUUCCUUGGAACAAUUGAGUUCUACUUCCCAUUUAUGUAACAUGAAACAGACUCAUCCUGGGUGUCUCAUCUAUCUGUUUCCAAGCUGUCCAACUUGUCUUUUGUGGCAAGAAUUAGGGUACCUGUUCCUUACAUAAAAUGCCCUGCUCCUAAUACGAGCAGGGUUCUGUUUCAAACAUAGUAAUUAAUGGACGUGGUUAGCAUGAAGUUCAAUUUUGAAUAAGUUGGUCAAUUGGUCAAUAGAGUGUUGACACGCAGACGAGGUUCUAUGUGUGUCAGCAUUCUAUUGGCUAAUUGAUCAACUUACCCAAAAAUGAACUUCAUGCUAACCGAAUCCGUAAUUAAUAUGUUCUUUCUUUCUUCCUCAGGAGGCUAUCUACAUUCUACUGUAAUGGGCCAACUGAAGUCUGGACAACCAAGCUGUCCACAUAGCUGAGCAGCAGAGGACUGGACACGAGGUCCGGACUUGCAACUUCAUCUCAACGCCUCAUGUCGGAAGAAAAGAAUGAUCCGGACUUGUACACUUGUCAGCUCACCCAGUUUUUUGGAGGAUUGUGUGCUUGCUGCAGCAAGACUUCUUGCUAAGCAGUCUCUGAUUCUUUUUCUCUAAUUUGUUUGUUACACAUUUACAAGUCAUAUUCAUUCAUUGAUACAAAAAAAGAAGAAGGAAAUAUAGUAUUUCUAGUCUGUUACUCUGUU
rnacentral:lncRNA from 1 species